rnacentral:rRNA from 1 species
AGUUAACGCUGGCGGUAGGCCUAACACAUGCAAGUCGAACGGCAGCACAGUAAGAGCUUGCUCUUACGGGUGGCGAGUGGCGGACGGGUGAGGAAUACAUCGGAAUCUACUUUUUCGUGGGGGAUAACGUAGGGAAACUUACGCUAAUACCGCAUACGACCUACGGGUGAAAGCAGGGGAUCUUCGGACCUUGCGCGAUUGAAUGAGCCGAUGUCGGAUUAGCUAGUUGGCGGGGUAAAGGCCCACCAAGGCGACGAUCCGUAGCUGGUCUGAGAGGAUGACAAGCCACACUGGAACUGAGACACGGCCCAGACUCCUAGGGGAGGCAGGGGGGGGGAAUAUUGGAAAAGGGGGGCAAGCCUGAUCCAGCCAUACCGGGGGGGUGAAGAAGGCCUUCGGGUUGUAAAGCCCUUUUGUUGGGAAAAAAAAGCAGCAGGUUAAUACCCCGCUGUUCUGGCGGUACCCAAAGAAUAAGCACCGGCUAACUUCGU